AUGGCUAUAGCUCAAUGGUAGAGCGCAUGCCUUGUAUGCACAAGGUCCUGGGUUCACUCCCCAGAACCUAUG
rnacentral:tRNA from 1 species